CCUAGCCUUCCUAUUCCUACCUUUCUUCUCUCUGUCUUCCUUAAUUCUCUUCCUAGGCUCUUGUCCUAAAAUCAGACCUGUCCUUACUAUUGUUGAAUUUAUUCUAAUAAGAGAAAAAAGAGACUAAUUGGACAAUAGAGAGAGUGUGUAAGAAAGAAAAGAUAGGAGUAAUUUUCUGAAUGAAUCAAAUCUCUGAUGUAGCCCCCUUUAAAUAGUUAGCGAUAAGGUGCCUUCAAGAAUG
rnacentral:lncRNA from 1 species